GUUGUAAACCUCUUUUAGUAGGGAAGAAGCGUAACAGUGACGGUACCUGCAGAAAAAGCACCGGCUAACUACGUGCCAGCAGCCGCGGUAAUACGUAGGGUGCAAGCGUUGUCCGGAAUUAUUGGGCGUAAAGAGCUCGUAGGCGGUUUGUCGCGUCUGCUGUGAAAACCCGAGGCUCAACCUCGGGCCUGCAGUGGGUACGGGCAGACUAGAGUGCGGUAGGGGAGAUUGGAAUUCCUGGUGUAGCGGUGGAAUGCGCAGAUAUCAGGAGGAACACCAAUGGCGAAGGCAGAUCUCUGGGCCGUAACUGACGCUGAGGAGCGGAAGCAUGGGGAGCGAACAGGAUUAGAUACCCUGGUAGUCCAUGCCGUAAACGUUGGGAACUAGAUGUGGGGACCAUUCCACGGUCCCCGUGUCGCAGCUAACGCAUUAAGUUCCCCGCCUGGGGA
rnacentral:rRNA from 1 species